CCUACGGGAGGCAGCAGUGAGGAAUAUUGGUCAAUGGGCUUACGCCUGAACCAGCCAAGUCGCGUGAGGGAAGACUGCCCUAUGGGUUGUAAACCUCUUUUGUCAGGGAGCAACGCCGGCUACGUGUAGCCGGACUGAGAGUACCUGAAGAAAAAGCAUCGGCUAACUCCGUGCCAGCAGCCGCGGUAAUACGGAGGAUGCGAGCGUUAUCCGUAUUUAUUGGGUUUAAAGGGUGCGUAGGCGGAAUGCCAAGUCAGCGGGAAAAUCGCGGGGCUCAACCUCGCUCCGCCGUUGAAACUGGCGUUCUUGAGUGGGCGAGAAGUAUGCGGACUGCGUGGUGUAGCGGUGAAAUGCAUAGAUAUCACGCAGAACUCCGAUUGCGAAGGCAGCAUACCGGCGCCCAACUGACGCUGAAGCACGAAAGCGUGGGUAUCGAACAGGAUUAGAUACCCUGGUAGUC
rnacentral:rRNA from 1 species